UUUGGAAGUCAAAAGUCGUAACAAGUUCUCCGUAGGUGAACCUGCGGAGGGAUCAUUACAGAGAACAUCGCCC
rnacentral:rRNA from 1 species